AACUAGCCUGUCGAACUAGGGCAGUUCGACAGUACCCUGUCGAACUGGGGCAGUUCGACAGAGGUACCUAUCGAACUACCCCAGUUCGACAGGGCG
rnacentral:pre_miRNA from 1 species